UGAUUGCGCAAGCGCAGAAAAUGGGCCCUCUUGGCCGUCGGGACUUGUACUGUUGGUGACUCCGUCUCCUUAGACGGUGGAGCCUGCGUGACCCAGAAAGGCCGCCUCGGGACCCAGACCAGGAUUUCCAUCAGCUCCCCUGGCUCGCAGGCCUUCUGACUUCUGACUCACCAUCAGCUCUCCUGGAUCCAGCUUGCCAAUGGCAGAUCGUGGGACUCCUUGCCCUCUAAUCGCAUGAAACAAUGCCCACAAGAGAAAAUAAAAGCAGUCAGAGGAGAAUGGAGAAUUUCCCCUAUUCCCCAGCAUGUGGAGCCAUGGACUCUGCCUUCUCCCAGUCAAGAUGGGGCAGGUCUCACUAUGUUGCCCAUUCUGGUCUUGAACUCUUGGACUCAAGCAAUCCUCCCACCUCGGACUUCCAAAGUGCUGGAAUCACAGGCUUGAGAUACCAUGCCCAGCCAAUUUAUUGUGAUGGUGAGCUCCUUAGAGGGAAGUAUAGUACAUAUUUCCUCCAUGUCUCCAGUACCCAACACAGUGCCUGACGUUGAGAGGGCUCUUAAUAAGUGUUUGUGAAAGACUGGUAGAGCAAUGCCCUAUGAAACAAGAAGCUGGAUAACACUGCUUAGGACUCAGAGGAGAGAGGAGUGUGGUCUACACUGCACAUCUCUGCCAAGCCUGGCACGGGAUUUGAAGUUCCACACCACUGAGCCAAACACAUCCAGACCCUCUUCCAACCCGGGGAUCUGGUGGUAAGCAAAAUACUAUUCCAGCAAGUGAUGCCCCCAGUCUCCUAAGGAUAUAAGAAACAGGAAGUUGUGUUUGGCUGCGGACAAACUCUCUCAGUGCCCCUGGGACUUACAAGAUGUUUGGAAUGAGGAACGAUCUGGUUUCUGAGUCCCUGGGCUGCAGCUGUUGAAUUUCCAGACACAAACAAGUAUGCGUUCUGAGAGCCUCGCCGAGCCCACACAACCGGGAGAGCCAAGCUGGAUUCCAUUCUGCUUUGCACAUCAGCAGCUCUGCUGCCAGCUGAACUCCAGGGCAAAAGCUGUGCCUGGUAAUGAUGCAGGCAGCAGGGAUGGCACAGCUGGCCUGGCUUAGGCCGUUAAGGGGGACACGCUUGGCCUUAUUUGGGGGAGAGCGAGAAAUGGAAGGCGAUGAAGAGUUGCGGAAGCAUACAUCAGCCUCCACAAAACUGGUGCACAGCAGGGAAACAAUCUGGUUUUGCUAGUCAUCAACAACAUGCCUGUGUGUGUGCCUGUUUAUGCUUAGGUAAGCCCAGCCUCCCACUCGCUGAAAAGAGUAGGCAGACAAGAAGGAGUGACCAACUCUGAGUCAGCUGUCAUCGUGUAGAGAGCAGCUAAGGGGAACAGUGGGGCUGGAAUCUCAUGGCCUUGCCUAGUGCCCCUACAGCAUCCUCUCUGCCCAUGGUGCCAGAUAUCUGAAUGGGAGGACAAAGGGGGCACAGGUGGUGAAAAAAACCAAGAUGCACAUUUGGGUAUUUUCCUUCUUUUGCUAGAAUGUCAUUUCUUGAUGUCUGUUUCUUGUCACCCAUUUGUGAUCAGGGACUAAGUAAGUUCCCUCUGCACCAGACCAGGUGGAAGACUGAGCCAGAGUUCCUCUGAGCCACAGGAGAGAUGAGGAGCUAUGGAGCGGAGUAGGGGCUGAGGAUCUGGUGCCCCCAGCUAAACUAAAAGGAGGCAGGCAGCAUGUAAGAGGAUGAUGGGGUAGCUCACAGAGAGGAAGGGGAUAUUCUUUCUCAAGAAUGAUGAGCCCAAAGGCAUCGCAUAACAAUUGUGAUCUCCCAGCUGGACGUUUCCUGUAGCACAGGUGUUCACAGUGUGGCUCCCAAACCAGCAGCCUCCAUGUCAGUCACUGGGAACUUGUUAGAAAUGCAGAUUCUCAGGCCACCCCAACCAUUAGAUCAGAAACUCUGGGGAUGGGGCCCCACAAUCUGUGUUUUCUUUUCUUUCUUUCUUUCUUUUUUUUUUUUUUUGAGACAGGGUCUCACUGUGUCAUCCAGGCUGGAGUGCAGUGGCAUGAAAAUGGCUCACUGCAGCCUCAACCUCCUGGGCUCAAGUGACCCUCCCACCUCAGCCUCCUGAGUAGCUGGGACUACAGGCCUGUACCACCAUGACCGACUGAUUUCGUUUUUUAAUUUUUUAUAGAAACAGGGUCUCGCCAUAUUGUCAUGGCUGGUCUUGAACUCCUGGG
rnacentral:lncRNA from 1 species